rfam:Felis catus isolate Cinnamon breed Abyssinian chromosome F2, whole genome shotgun sequence.
GCCUGGGUGGCUCAGUCAGUUAAGUGUCUGACUUCGGCUCAGGUCACAAUCUCUCGGUUUGUGGGUUCGAGCCCCGCGUCAGGCU